rnacentral:lncRNA from 10 species
CUCCCCCGCCCCCUCGGCGGCGACGGCGGCGGGUGGUGCAGGCUCGGCCCCAGCGCUGAGGGAGCACUGAGCCGACCCAAGGUCUGCAAGGAGUUCGCGGCACCCGCCCGCCCACGCCGGACCCGGAGGGCACGUCCGCCGGGAGGGGCAGUUCCCACGAGGAAAGUCCCAUUGAUGCGAGUUGGCAGUGUAGAGGAUGCUCCCCUCCGGCCGCCGCGGAAGCCGUCGUCCAAAUGCAGGCGAGCGGGGAGGAGGAGGCCGGGAUGCGGCCGGCGGGCCACCUGCUCUCGCCGGCCUGCCAGUCUCCUGCUUGCUCUGAAGCCCUGCCAUAGACGGCCCCGCUCCCCCGUCUCCCAGUUAAUGCAAUAUCUGGCACAAAUAAGUAUUCAAUAAAUAUCUGUUGGAUGAGUAAGUGCCCUGGAUUUCUAAUUUAUUCCAAUUCUCUGCUUACUUUAAAAAAGAAAAAAAAAGCAAUAUUGGGGAUAUUUGUUGAAGUUGUUAAUAAGAGUGAACAUUUGGAAACACUUAAAUGACCAAAGGUAGGGAUUAUGUAAAUUAUGUCAACGAUUAAAAGUGAAGAGGUAGACUUAGUAAUAGGAAAUAAUGUUCAUGAUAUUAAAUCAAGCAAAAUAUUACAAAUUUCCUGUUUUAUAAUAAAAGUUUAAAU